AUCUGUAUAAACUUUAGCUCAUACAAGCAAACAAGCAAAAGACAGGGAACUCUGUGAUGAAGAAGUCUCUGCAUGACUCUGGGAAGAAUGGUCCUGUACUCGAGUUUGAGUUUUAAGCUAGGAAAAUGGCUAAUAAUUGAAAAUGAUGGAAACACUAUGGAAUUUUCUUUGUAUGUCAUUAUGAAAUUGCUGUGUAACAAAGAACCAAGAUCCAAAAUAGCAAGCUUGGGAGAGUUUGUGUGCUACAGGAAGAGACGAAUAAGAAACAGAAGAUCAGUCAGCGCACGGGUAGAUGACAUCUGUGCAUCCCAUUGUGUGAAAAAUAAUCUGCUUAUUUUGCCCUUUGUUCUAAAAUAAGUUCAUUACAUAGGCUAUAUCA